rnacentral:rRNA from 1 species
CCUACGGGAGGCAGCAGUAGGGAAUCUUUCACAAUGGGCGAAAGCCUGAUGGAGCAACGCCGCGUGCAGGAUGAAGGCCUUCGGGUUGUAAACUGCUUUUAUAAGCGAGAAAUAUGAUGGUAACUUAUGAAUAAGGAUCGGCUAACUACGUGCCGGCAGCCGCGGUCAUACGUAGGAUCCGAGCAUUAUCCGGAGUGACUGGGUGUAAAGAGUUGCGUAGGUGGCAUAAUAAGUAGCUAGUGAAAUCUGGUGGCUCAACCAUUCAGACUAUUAGCUAAACUGUUAAGCUCGAGACCGUUAGGGGUAACUGGAAUUUCUAGUGUAGGAGUGAAAUCCGUAGAUAUUAGAAGGAACACCAAUAGCGUAGGCAGGUUGCUGGGACGGUUCUGACACUAAGGCACGAAAGCGUAGGGAGCAAACGGGAUUAGAUACCCCAGUAGUC